rnacentral:lncRNA from 7 species
ACAUUUCUGGCCCUUUCCAUGUGAAGGGCACAUCUGAAGCUGGCUGCAGUCACUGGAAGGUGCUGAUGUGACCAUGGAGCAGUGCUGUGUAACCACACCACCCAAAAAGCACGGAGUGGAAAAAUGUCACUCACAUCGCAGAGAUGGAGAAGCAACAGAAUUCCUGAGUCUGGGGAGGAGAGCUACAAACCGGAUAGACUUUGCUGGGGUGGCUGUGAGGACGUCGCUGGUGGAUCGCCUCGUGGUAAAGCACAGCCACUCAGAUGAAGAAAAGCAUGAACUGUAAACAAAGGACUGCAAGAAAUGAAUGCGCUGUGCUACAGAGGGACGUCCAGGAACGCAUUAUUCAUUGACAUCCUACGUGGGGCCGGUAUUCCCUGCAGACCUGUAGAAAACCCAGCACGCUCCUGACCAGCUCUUCUUCAGCUAUUCUGUGUCCUUUUCGUUACCGUGUUCAGCCUUCUGCCCUUGCUCAUAACCUAGCUGAAAUUGCACACAGCUGUGACUACAUCCGCAACUUCUCCUCUCCCCAAAGGCCCGUUCUCUCAGAGGAUGAGAUGAAUGUAUUUCUCCACUCAGCCACUCUGAAAACUCUUUUCCAAGGGAUGUGUCCUCUCUGAACUUGGCAGGGAAUGUGUUUGACAUUAACUGUAGGACCAGGCAGCGCCACUUCUGACCGUUCGUGAGGGAACAGCUGAGAAGUUUCAUUCUCAGCACUGGUGCCUUUGGCUCUGGUUGGAAUGGUACAUCACUCACGAGAUGCAGUGACACACACAGCGUGCAGAGUUAUGUCCUUUGUGUGGAUCACUUAUACAGCCUUUACGUUUAUACAUUUUUACUUUCCAGUGGUGUUAAUUUGGCACCCCCUGGAGGAAAUAUGUUUGAAAACACUUGAAGGAAGAAAAUAUUAUUAAAAUCCCCUUUGAAGCCGAUACUUUGAAUAGACUGUAAAUUUUCCCAGUUAUCUAUGGAGAGGGGCCUUCGCAGAAAUGUUCAUGUCAUUUUAUCUGUAGGCACUUUUUCAUCCUGAGAUGAUGCAUGCGAUUUUUUUCUUCCUUAGACUAAACGUGUCAGUCCAAGACUCUUAUUGUGGAAGUGCUGGAGAAUUAAGCAGUCAAAAAAGAAACCUGAAAUGGUACCCAUAAAUGGUCAACCAUCAGAGAGUCAGCUUGAGCCUGCCACAAUCGCUUUCUUUGUUGGACAGAAAUGACCACAUCCUGGGCUUCCAAAUUAGCUACAAAUGUAAUGUUCAGAAACUAAAAGAUGCUGAAGGCAACCAUUUUAUUCAUUCUGCCCCUCCAGCCUUUAUUAAAAUAAAUAAAUAAAAGUAUGCAAAACAAAAAUAUGUAUUUACACAGCUUUAAAUGCAAAUAGGAUUUAGACGAGAUAACUGGAUGUUAGUGGUUUCUGAAAGCAAAUGUAAACAAGGUUGUUGUUAUUAUUAUUAUUUAGCUCACCUCAAUAAAUGCCUGAUUGCAUUCACAAACAACUUUAAAAGAAAGCCGUGAAGCUGUGAACGUCAUAAAUGAGU